rnacentral:rRNA from 1 species
GGGUUGUGAGGUUAAGCGACUAAGCGUACACGGUGGAUGCCCUGGCAGUCAGAGGCGAUGAAGGACGUGCUAAUCUGCGAUAAGCGUCGGUAAGGUGAUAUGAACCGUUAUAACCGGCGAUUUCCGAAUGGGGAAACCCAGUGUGUUUCGACACACUAUCAUUAACUGAAUCCAUAGGUUAAUGAGGCGAACCGGGGGAACUGAAACAUCUAAGUACCCCGAGGAAAAGAAAUCAACCGAGAUUCCCCCAGUAGCGGCGAGCGAACGGGGAGCAGCCCAGAGCCUGAAUCAGUGUGUGUGUUAGUGGAAGCGUCUGGAAAGGCGCGCGAUACAGGGUGACAGCCCCGUACACAAAAAUGCACAUACUGUGAGCUCGAUGAGUAGGGCGGGACACGUGGUAUCCUGUCUGAAUAUGGGGGGACCAUCCUCCAAGGCUAAAUACUCCUGACUGACCGAUAGUGAACCAGUACCGUGAGGGAAAGGCGAAAAGAACCCCGGCGAGGGGAGUGAAAAAGAACCUGAAACCGUGUACGUACAAGCAGUGGGAGCACGCUUAGGCGUGUGACUGCGUACCUUUUGUAUAAUGGGUCAGCGACUUAUAUUCUGUAGCAAGGUUAACCGAAUAGGGGAGCCGAAGGGAAACCGAGUCUUAACUGGGCGUUAAGUUGCAGGGUAUAGACCCGAAACCCGGUGAUCUAGCCAUGGGCAGGUUGAAGGUUGGGUAACACUAACUGGAGGACCGAACCGACUAAUGUUGAAAAAUUAGCGGAUGACUUGUGGCUGGGGGUGAAAGGCCAAUCAAACCGGGAGAUAGCUGGUUCUCCCCGAAAGCUAUUUAGGUAGCGCCUCGUGAAUUCAUCUCCGGGGGUAGAGCACUGUUUCGGCAAGGGGGUCAUCCCGACUUACCAACCCGAUGCAAACUGCGAAUACCGGAGAAUGUUAUCACGGGAGACACACGGCGGGUGCUAACGUCCGUCGUGAAGAGGGAAACAACCCAGACCGCCAGCUAAGGUCCCAAAGUCAUGGUUAAGUGGGAAACGAUGUGGGAAGGCCCAGACAGCCAGGAUGUUGGCUUAGAAGCAGCCAUCAUU